CCCAGUGAAAUGGAUCCUCAAAUUCUGCAAUAAGAAUCAUGAAAACAUAAAUCAGAACAUAUUACAAAAUAAAGAUGAACUGUAAUUUCAAGAAAAAAUAGUUCUUAUGCAUUUAACAUUCCAACUGCCAAACAAUCUACAAUGGUAGAUGCAUAUAAUAGAUGGUGAAUACCAAAGAAAAGCUUAGCUUUGCUUACAUAUCUUGUUGAAAGCCACAAUAUCACAGCUCUGGACAUGCUCAUUCACUGGCUCAACUGUCAGAUGUUCCUCAAUGAGAUUGUCAACAGACACAAGGUCGUCAACAAUUGUGAGCAUUAUCUGCAGUUUCUUAAUACCAUAUCCAACAGGGACGAGUUUGGAUGCUCCCCAAAGCAAUCCUUCCAUCUGAACACUUCUUACGGCCUCUUCAAGUUUCUUCAUGUCAGUUUCAUCAUCCCAAGGCUUGAUAUCCAUCAAAACUGAUGAUUUUCCACUCUCUUUCUUCUUUGCAGAAGCCUUGAUGGCAGCUGCGCGCUCUUCGGCAGCCUUCUUUUCCUCUUCAGUCUCUUCACCAAACAGAUCCAUAUCGUCAUCAUCGUCGUCAUCAGCACUAGCCUUAGCAUCGGCAGCUGGUGGGGUUGCGAUUGCUUCUGCAUCGAACUUAACGCCAGAACCCUCUCCAAACCCAGCAGAGGCUCUCAUGAGUGCUUCGAUGUGAUUGAACCACCUAGAUACGUUAACAUAUUCGCUGGAAACGGGUUUGGAGAUAGCUUCGUAAACAGCGAUAUCAUCUUUUGAAGCUUGAUACCCAGAAAUGUAACUACGACUGAGCAGGUACUCGUCGAGCUUUUUUAGACCGGCUGCCGACUUAACAUCGCUCAAUGAGACCGCCAUUGCGAACUGAUGUGAUUUCCUUCGCCGGCAGCAACGCUAGAACUCACGGAGAAAGUUACAGAGGCUUAGGAGAUC
rnacentral:misc_RNA from 1 species